rnacentral:rRNA from 1 species
UACAGAGACCUCAAGCGUUAUCCGGAAUCAUUGGGCGUAAAGCGUACCGAUAGGUGGUUAAGAUAGUCAGAUGUGAAAUCUCCGAGCUCAACUCGGAAUCUGUCAUUUGAAACUUCUUGACUAGAGGGGCAAAGAGGAAGCUGGAACAAACGGUGUAGUAGUGAAAUGCGUUGAUAUCGUUUGGAACACCAAUAGCGAAGGCAGGCUUCUGGGUGCCACCUGACACUUCUAGGACGAAAGCGUGGGGAGCGAAUGGG